rnacentral:rRNA from 1 species
UACGUAGGGUGCGAGCGUUAAUCGGAAUUACUGGGCGUAAAGCGUGCGCAGGCGGUUUUGUAAGCCGGAUGUGAAAUCCCCGGGCUUAACCUGGGAAUGGCAUUCGGGACUGCAAGGCUGGAGUGCGGCAGAGGAGACUGGAAUUCCUGGUGUAGCAGUGAAAUGCGUAGAUAUCAGGAGGAACACCGAUGGCGAAGGCAGCUCGCUGGAACGGUACUGACGCUGAGGCGCGAAAGCGUGGGGAGCGAACAGG